rnacentral:rRNA from 1 species
CUACGGGCUGCACCAGUGGGGAAUUUUGGACAAUGGGGGCAACCCUGAUCCAGCCAUGCCGCGUGAGUGAAGAAGGCCUUCGGGUUGUAAAGCUCUUUCGGCCGGGAAGAAAUCGCACGAGUUAAUACCUCGUGUGGAUGACGGUACCGGCAUAAGAAGCACCGGCUAACUACGUGCCAGCAGCCGCGGUAAUACGUAGGGUGCGAGCGUUAAUCGGAAUUACUGGGCGUAAAGCGUGCGCAGGCGGUUUUGUAAGACAGGCGUGAAAUCCCCGGGCUCAACCUGGGAACUGCGUUUGUGACUGCAAGGCUUGAGUAUGGCAGAGGGGGGUGGAAUUCCACGUGUAGCAGUGAAAUGCGUAGAGAUGUGGAGGAACACCGAUGGCGAAGGCAGCCCCCUGGGCCAAUACUGACGCUCAUGCACGAAAGCGUGGGUAGCAAACAGGAUUAGAUACCCUGGUAGUC